UACGUAGGUGGCAAGCGUUGUCCGGAAUUAUUGGGCGUAAAGCGCGCGCAGGCGGUUCUUUAAGUCCGAUGUGAAAGCCCACGGCUCAACCGUGGAGGGUCAUUGGAAACUGGGGAACUUGAGUACAGAAGAGGAAAGCGGAAUUCCACGUGUAGCGGUGAAAUGCGUAGAGAUGUGGAGGAACACCAGUGGCGAAGGCGGCUUUCUGGUCUGUAACUGACGCUGAGGCGCGAAAGCGUGGGGAGCAAACAGG
rnacentral:rRNA from 1 species